rnacentral:tRNA from 1 species
GGGGCCAUAGUCUAGUCAGGCAGGAUGGCUGGCUCCAGACCAGCAGACGGGAGUUCGAAUCUCUCUGGCCCCACCA